UCUGCCCGAUGGAGGGGGAUAACUACUGGAAACGGUAGCUAAUACCGCAUAACGUCGCAAGACCAAAGUGGGGGACCUUCGGGCCUCACACCAUCGGAUGAACCCAGAUGGGAUUAGCUAGUAGGUGGGGUAACGGCUCACCUAGGCGACGAUCCCUAGCUGGUCUGAGAGGAUGACCAGCCACACUGGAACUGAGACACGGUCCAGACUCCUACGGGAGGCAGCAGUGGGGAAUAUUGCACAAUGGGCGCAAGCCUGAUGCAGCCAUGCCGCGUGUAUGAAGAAGGCCUUCGGGUUGUAAAGUACUUUCAGCGGGGAGGAAGGUGUGGGGUUUAAUACCUUCCGCCAUUGACGUUACCCGCAGAAGAAGCACCGGCUAACUCCGUGCCAGCAGCCGCGGUAAUACGGAGGGUGCAAGCGUUAAUCGGAAUUACUGGGCGUAAAGCGCACGCAGGCGGUCUGUCAAGUCGGAUGUGAAAUCCCCGGGCUUAACCUGGGAACUGCAUUCGAAACUGGCAGGCUGGAGUCUUGUAGAGGGGGGUAGAAUUCCAGGUGUAGCGGUGAAAUGCGUAGAGAUCUGGAGGAAUACCGGUGGCGAAGGCGGCCCCCUGGACAAAGACUGACGCUCAGGUGCGAAAGCGUGGGGAGCAAACAGGAUUAGAUACCCUGGUAGUCCACGCUGUAAACGAUGUCGACUUGGAGGUUGUGCCCUUGAGGCGUGGCUUCCGGAGCUAACGCGUUAAGUCGACCGCCUGGGGAGUACGGCCGCAAGGUUAAAACUCAAAUGAAUUGACGGGGGCCCGCACAAGCGGUGGAGCAUGUGGUUUAAUUCGAUGCAACGCGAAGAACCUUACCUGGCCUUGACAUCCAGAGAAUUUAGCAGAGAUGCUUUGGUGCCUUCGGGAACCGUGAGACAGGUGCUGCAUGGCUGUCGUCAGCUCGUGUUGUGAAAUGUUGGGUUAAGUCCCGCAACGAGCGCAACCCUUAUCCUUUGUUGCCAGCGAUUCGGUCGGGAACUCAAAGGAGACUGCCGGUGAUAAACCGGAGGAAGGUGGGGAUGACGUCAAGUCAUCAUGGCCCUUACGGCCAGGGCUACACACGUGCUACAAUGGCGCAUACAAAGAGAAGCGACCUCGCGAGAGCAAGCGGACCUCAUAAAGUGCGUCGUAGUCCGGAUUGGAGUCUGCAACUCGACUCCAUGAAGUCGGAAUCGCUAGUAAUCGUAGAUCAGAAUGCUACGGUGAAUACGUUCCCGGGCCUUGUACACACCGCCCGUCACACCAUGGGAGUGGGUUGCAAAAGAAGUAGGUAGC
rnacentral:rRNA from 1 species